CGCAGCGAGGAGCAGCAUAAUACUUGUAAUUUGAUGGCGACGGCGAACGGGUGCGUAACGCGUAUACAACUUACCUUUUACUAGAGAAUAGCCAAGAGAAAUUUUGAUUAAUGCCCUAUGUUCUUAUUAACUCGCAUGAGUUAAUAAGCAAAGCUCCGGCGGUAAAAGAUGGGCAUGCGUCCUAUUAGCUUGUAGGUGAGGUAACGGCUCACCUAAGCUCCGAUAGGUAGGGGUCCUGAGAGGGAGAUCCCCCACACUGGUACUGAGACACGGACCAGACUUCUACGGAAGGCAGCAGUAAGGAAUAUUGGACAAUGGAGGCAACUCUGAUCCAGCCAUGCCGCGUGAAGGAAGACGGCCUUAUGGGUUGUAAACUUCUUUUAUACAGGAAGAAACCUUUCCACGUGUGGAAAGCUGACGGUACUGUAAGAAUAAGGAUCGGCUAACUCCGUGCCAGCAGCCGCGGUAAUACGGAGGAUCCAAGCGUUAUCCGGAAUUAUUGGGUUUACAGGGUCCGCAGGCUGUUUGUUAAGUCAGAGGUGACAUCCUACCGCUCAACGGUAGAACUGGCUUUGAUACUGGGAAACAUGAGUUAUCGUGAGGUAGUCAGAAUGUGUAGUGUACGCGUGAAAUGCUUAGAUUUUCCACAGAAUACCGAUUGGGACAGCGAUUGCUACCAUAUCUGACGCUCAGGACGA
rnacentral:rRNA from 1 species